GUAUAUAUUAUAUUAUAUUCCAACGACAUUCUGAACAUACUCGAGAGAUUGUGAUAAAAUGACAUAGACCUGGGGGAAAGGUACAAGGAAAAGCCGGCCUAAGAAAAAAGCGACAGCAAUUCCCGACUCGAACACAAGUUCAUGGAGCUCUCCCAUUUCCAGGAUCUACAAAAUGUGCACAGUUGGAAGAAAUGACAAAGAUGAGACAAGCGUGCACGACACCCCGGAGGGCCAGCAACAGCCUGUUCAAGUUUAUACGAUAAUGAUCCUUCCGCAGGUUCACCUACGGAAA
rnacentral:misc_RNA from 1 species